rnacentral:rRNA from 1 species
UACGUAGGGUGCGAGCGUUGUCCGGAAUUAUUGGGCGUAAAGGGCUCGUAGGCGGUUUGUCGCGUCGGGAGUGAAAUCCACUGGCUUAACUGGUGGCUUGCUUUCGAUACGGGCAGACUGGAGGUAUGCAGGGGAGAACGGAAUUCCUGGUGUAGCGGUGAAAUGCGCAGAUAUCUGGAGGAACACCGGUGGCGAAGGCGGCAUCCUGGACCGGCAUUGACGCUGAGGCGCGAAGCC